rfam:Salmo salar isolate Sally breed double haploid chromosome ssa13, whole genome shotgun sequence.
UGCACUCACUACUGUAAGUCUCUCUGGAUAAGAGCGUCUGCUAAAUGACUAAAA